rnacentral:rRNA from 1 species
AGCGAACGCUGGCGGCAGGCCUAACACAUGCAAGUCGAACGGACCCUUCGGGGUUAGUGGCGGACGGGUGAGUAACACGUGGGAACGUGCCUUUAGGUUCGGAAUAGCUCCUGGAAACGGGUGGUAAUGCCGAAUGUGCCCUUCGGGGGAAAGAUUUAUCGCCUUUAGAGCGGCCCGUGUCUGAUUAGCUAGUUGGUGAGGUAACGGCUCACCAAGGCGACGAUCAGUAGCUGGUCUGAGAGGAUGACCAGCCACAUUGGGACUGAGACACGGCCCAAACUCCUACGGGAGGCAGCAGUGGGGAAUCUUGCGCAAUGGGCGAAAGCCUGACGCAGCCAUGCCGCGUGGAUGAUGAAGGUCUUAGGAUUGUAAAAUCCUUUCACCGGUGAAGAUAAUGACUGUAGCCGGAGAAGAAGCCCCGGCUAACUUCGUGCCAGCCGCCGCAGUAAUAC